rnacentral:rRNA from 1 species
UACGAAGGGGGCUAGCGUUGCUCGGAUUGACUGGGCGUAAAGGGUGCGUAGGCGGCGGGGUAAGUCGGGUGUGAAAUCUCAGGGCUCAACCCUGAAACUGCACUCGAUACUGCUCUGCUUGAGGACUGGAGAGGAGACUGGAAUUCACGGUGUAGCAGUGAAAUGCGUAGAUAUCGUGAGGAAGACCAGUGGCGAAGGCGGGUCUCUGGACAGUUCCUGGACG